AGUCGAACGGAGUUACUUUGGUGAAGUUUUCGGAUGGAUCUGAUUUAACUUAGUGGCGGACGGGUGAGUAAUGCGUGAGCAACCUGCCCUUCAGAGGGGGACAACAGUUGGAAACGACUGCUAAUACCGCAUAAUGUAUUCGGAAGGCAUCUUCUGGAUACCAAAGGAGAAAUCCGCUGAUGGAUGGGCUCACGUCUGAUUAGCUAGUUGGUGAGGUAACGGCUCACCAAGGCUGCGAUCAGUAGCCGGACUGAGAGGUUGAACGGCCACAUUGGGACUGAGAUACGGCCCAGACUCCUACGGGAGGCAGCAGUGGGGAAUAUUGGGCAAUGGGCGAAAGCCUGACCCAGCAACGCCGCGUGAAGGAAGAAGGCCUUCGGGUUGUAAACUUCUUUUAAGAGGGACGAAGAAGUGACGGUACCUCUUGAAUAAGCCACGGCUAACUACGUGCCAGCAGCCGCGGUAAUACGUAGGUGGCGAGCGUUAUCCGGAUUUACUGGGUGUAAAGGGCGCGUAGGCGGGAAUGCAAGUCAGAUGUGAAAUCCAAGGGCUCAACCCUUGAACUGCAUUUGAAACUGUAUUUCUUGAGUGUCGGAGAGGUUGACGGAAUUCCUAGUGUAGCGGUGAAAUGCGUAGAUAUUAGGAGGAACACCAGUGGCGAAGGCGGUCAACUGGACGAUAACUGACGCUGAGGCGCGAAAGCGUGGGGAGCAAACAGGAUUAGAUACCCUGGUAGUCCACGCCGUAA
rnacentral:rRNA from 1 species